rnacentral:rRNA from 1 species
AAUGGGCGAAAGCCUGUCGGAGCAACGCCGCGUGAGGGAUGAAGGCCUCUGGGCUGUAGACCUCUUUUAUCAAGGAAGAAGAUCUGACGGUACUUGAUGAAUAAGCCACGGCUAAUUCCGUGCCAGCAGCCGCGGUAAUACGGGAGUGGCAAGCGUUAUCCGGAAUUAUUGGGCGUAAAGCGUCCGCAGGCGGCCCUUCAAGUCUGCUGUUAAAAAGUGGAGCUUAACUCCAUCAUGGCAGUGGAAACUGUUGGGCUUGAGUGUGGUAGGGGCAGAGGGAAUUCCCGGUGUAGCGGUGAAAUGCGUAGAUAUCGGGAAGAACACCAGUGGCGAAGGCGCUUUGCUGGGCCAUCACUGACGCUCAUGGACGAAAGCCAGGGGAGCGAAAGGGAUU